rnacentral:rRNA from 1 species
UACAGCGGGGGCAAGCGUUGUUCGGAAUUACUGGGCGUAAAGGGCGCGUAGGCGGCCAACUAAGUCAGACGUGAAAUCCCUCGGCUUAACCGGGGAACUGCGUCUGAUACUGGAUGGCUGGAGGUUGGGAGAGGGAUGCGGAAUUCCAGGUGUAGCGGUGAAAUGCGUAGAUAUCUGGAGGAACACCGGUGGCGAAGGCGGCAUCCUGGACCAAUUCUGACGCUGAGGAGCGAAAGCCAGGGGAGCAAACGGG